UACGAAGGGGGCUAGCGUUGCUCGGAAUCACUGGGCGUAAAGGGUGCGUAGGCGGGUCUUUAAGUCAGGGGUGAAAUCCUGGAGCUCAACUCCAGAACUGCCUUUGAUACUGAGGAUCUUGAGUUCGGGAGAGGUGAGUGGAACUGCGAGUGUAGAGGUGAAAUUCGUAGAUAUUCGAAAGAACACCAGUGGCGAAGGCGGCUCACUGGCCCGAUACUGACGCUGAGGCACGAAAGCGUGGGAGCAAACAGGG
rnacentral:rRNA from 1 species